GCACUAAGCCAAAUCGCAAUGUUGAUAUGCUUUUCCUCGGAAGUCACGUUUAAUUUCAUCUCACUGAAAAUGUUACUACAUUCGACAGGUGUGGAAAAAUGGCUCGAGAAGUAAGAGUUCUCGUGGUGGUUGAAGCCGGUGCCUGGAAAUGUGAAACUGCGUCGUUUGGAGAUUUCUUUGUUACCCACCAUUUCCUUCUGUGUGUAAUGCAUCUCACAUUCACUGAACUUGUAUUGUUUUGGAAGCAGACUCAGGAAAGGAAGAUGGAAGUUAACAGGAAGUUUAUUGACAACAGUGAGCGGUACAGAAAAAAGCAGGUGAGAGGACUGAUGGAUGAUACGAUGGGUGACAAGACAGAUACAAUGGAGAAGGAACAAGGACAAAGCUGGGCGAUUGCUGGAUGAGAAUCAAAUUACCUAGAAGCCUAUGAAGGAGUGAGGCAGCUCUCAAAUUUCAUCAAAAAUAUCUUAAUUUGU